UCUGUGGUGCAGUGGUAGCAAGCAGCUCUGGUAUGGUCAGGAACGCGAGUUCGAAUCCCGCCGGGUGAG